GCAGUCGAACGGCAGCAUGACCAAGCUUGCUUGGUUGAUGGCGAGUGGCGAACGGGUGAGUAAUACAUCGGAACGUACCGUUUAGUGGGGGACAACUUUCAGAAAUGGAAGCUAAUACCGCAUACGAACUACGGUUGAAAGCAGGGGACCUUCGGGCCUUGUGCUAAACGAGCGGCCGAUGGAAGAUUAGCUAGUUGGUGGGGUAAAGGCUCACCAAGGCGACGAUCUUUAGCGGGUCUGAGAGGACGAUCCGCCACACUGGAACUGAGACACGGUCCAGACUCCUACGGGAGGCAGCAGUGGGGAAUUUUGGACAAUGGGGGCAACCCUGAUCCAGCAAUGCCGCGUGAGUGAAGAAGGCCUUCGGGUUGUAAAGCUCUUUUGUUAGGGAAGAAAAGGUCUCGGAUAAUACCCGAGGCUGAUGACGGUACCUAAAGAAUAAGCACCGGCUAACUACGUGCCAGCAGCCGCGGUAAUACGUAGGGUGCAAGCGUUAAUCGGAAUUACUGGGCGUAAAGCGUGCGCAGGCGGCCUCGCAAGUCAGAUGUGAAAUCCCCGAGCUCAACUUGGGAACUGCAUUUGAAACUACGAGGCUAGAGUGUGUCAGAGGGAGGUAGAAUUCCACGUGUAGCAGUGAAAUGCGUAGAUAUGUGGAGGAAUACCAGUGGCGAAUCCCCGAGCUCAACUUGGGAACUGCAUUUGAAACUACGAGGCUAGAGUGUGUCAGAGGGAGGUAGAAUUCCACGUGUAGCAGUGAAAUGCGUAGAUAUGUGGAGGAAUACCAGUGGCGAAGGCGGCCUCCUGGGAUAACACUGACGCUCAUGUACGAAAGCGUGGGGAGCAAACAGGAUUAGAUACCCUGGUAGUCCACGCCCUAAACGAUGUCAACUGGUUGUUGGGUCUUCAUUGACUUAGUAACGAAGCUAACGCGUGAAGUUGACCGCCUGGGGAGUACGGUCGCAAGAUUAAAACUCAAAUGAAUUGACGGGGACCCGCACAAGCGGUGGAUGAUGUGGAUUAAUUCGAUGCAACGCGAAAAACCUUACCUACCCUUGACAUGCCACUAACGAAGUAGAGAUACAUUAGGUGCUCGUAAGAGAAAGUGGACACAGGUGCUGCAUGGCUGUCGUCAGCUCGUGUCGUGAGAUGUUGGGUUAAGUCCCGCAACGAGCGCAACCCUUGUCAUUAGUUGCCAUCAUUCAGUUGGGCACUCUAAUGAGACUGCCGGUGACAAACCGGAGGAAGGUGGGGAUGACGUCAAGUCCUCAUGGCCCUUAUGGGUAGGGCUUCACACGUCAUACAAUGGUCGGUACAAAGGGUCGCCAAGCCGCGAGGUGGAGCCAAUCCCAUAAAACCGAUCGUAGUCCGGAUUGGAGUCUGCAACUCGACUCCAUGAAGUCGG
rnacentral:rRNA from 1 species